rnacentral:rRNA from 1 species
ACGGGUGAGUAAUGUAUCGGAACGUGCCCAGUAGUGGGGGAUAACUACUCGAAAGAGUGGCUAAUACCGCAUGAGAUCUCUGGAUGAAAGUGGGGGACCGCAAGGCCUCACGCUACUGGAGCGGCCGAUAUCAGAUUAGGUAGUUGGUGGGGUAAAGGCCCACCAAGCCUGCGAUCUGUAGCUGGUCUGAGAGGACGACCAGCCACACUGGGACUGAGACACGGCCCAGACUCCUACGGGAGGCAGCAGUGGGGAAUUUUGGACAAUGGGCGCAAGCCUGAUCCAGCAAUGCCGCGUGCAGGACGAAGGCCUUCGGGUUGUAAACUGCUUUUGUACAGAACGAAAAGGCUCUGGUUAAUACCCGGGGCUCAUGACGGUACUGUAAGAAUAAGCACCGGCUAACUACGUGCCAGCAGCCGCGGUAAUACGUAGGGUGCAAGCGUUAAUCGGAAUUACUGGGCGUAAAGCGUGCGCAGGCGGUUUUGUAAGACAGAGGUGAAAUCCCCGGGCUCAACCUGGGAACUGCCUUUGUGACUGCAAGGCUGGAGUACGGCAGAGGGGGAUGGAAUUCCGCGU